UCUCCGUAUCCCUUUCCCCACGGGGAGGCAGAAGCUGCAGGCAGAGCAGGCUCAGAGAGGUGAAGAAGAGCUUGCCCAGCCAGUCUCCGCGAGAGGGGGACCCCCAGAAGCGGCGCUGGGUGGGUGGGCUUCUCCGUCAGAGGCACUGAGAUCUGGGCACAUCACCAGUUCCUGCAGUGGGCAUACCAGCGGCUCCAGGAGAGGGCGAGAUGAACGCGAUCAAGGGCAGUGAAGGCAUAUUACAUCUCACUCUUCAGACCAGAGAACCGAAUCACUGUUAGCUGGCAUUUAUGAAUGUCAACAGCAUGGAAAAAUUGGAAAGCAUAUCCACAGUUUAGGCCAAGAAAGUUCCAACUUGGACUUGAUGUAUAAGGAGAAGAGACAAGAGCCAGUGGGAAAGUGGGAUCAGAACUGAGCCUGGGAGGAACAGCUGGUCAGAUCUUUUCAUCUUUGGCCUAAGUCACCAACUUCCCACAUUGAUAUUUGAUUGAGAGGAUGACUAAUGAGCAUUGCUGUCCAGGGUUCAGUACUCGGAUUGCAGCCAGCAACGUUGCCUAGUCUGGGACGGGGUGAUAAGAGACAUACAUGGCAACCUAGCAUGUCUGAUAUCGCACAAACUUUCUCCUUGCCAUGGUUUAAAAGUGGCAUGAGCCCAAAACUGACUUUUAAGAAAUGAAUCUAUCAGUGCUGAUUCAGAAACAAUCAUUUCUUCACACUUUCACAUUGCCAAAAUGUUGUUACUAAAAUCUACGUUGAUUUUCCUUAAGGUACAUUAUCUAAGGAAAUAAAGAAGUUUCUUUCUUCGGCUGUGAUAACUUAGAGCUGUUCAUUAUUAUUUGCUUUGUAAAGAAUUUUAUUGCUCUUUUAACAAGAACAGGGCUAAAAUCCGGAAAUAUAAGUAUUGAAUUGCAUGGAAAAUAUAAGUUGUAAUCAUUUAUUUCAGAAAUUUGAUAUUCUUUGAC